rnacentral:rRNA from 1 species
UGGGGAAUAUUGCGCAAUGGGGGAAACCCUGACGCAGCCACGCCGCGUGAGUGAUUGAAGGCCUUCGGGUUGUAAAACUCUGUCGAGGGGGAAGAAGUUCUGACGGUACCCCUCAAGGAAGCGCCGGCUAACCCUGUGCCAGCAGCCGCGGUAAUACAGGGGGCGCGAGCGUUGCUCGGAAUUACUGGGCGUAAAGCGUACGCAGGCGGACUGCAAAGUCGGAUGUGAAAUCCCGAGGCUCAACCUCGGAACUGCAUUCGAUACUGGCAGUCUAGAGUACGAGAGAGGUGGGUGGAAUUCCUGGUGUAGAGGUGAAAUUCGUAGAUAUCAGGAGGAACACCGGUGGCGAAAGCGGCCCACUGGCUCGAUACUGACGCUCAUGUACGAAAGCGUGGGGAGCAAACAGG